rnacentral:rRNA from 1 species
GGUUUGAUCCUGGCUCAGAACGAACGCUGGCGGCAUGCCUAACACAUGCAAGUCGAACGCCUGCAGCAAUGCAGGAGUGGCAGACGGGUGAGUAACACGUGGGAAUCUACCCAGUAGCUCGGAAUAACCGCGGGAAACUGCGGCUAAUACCGGAUAAGCCCCGAGGGGAAGGAGCAAUCCACUAUUGGAGGAGCCCGCGUCUGAUUAGCUAGUUGGUGGGGUAAUGGCCUACCAAGGCGAUGAUCAGUAGCUGGUUUGAGAGAACGACCAGCCACACUGGGACUGAGACACGGCCCAGACUCCUACGGGAGGCAGCAGUGGGGAAUAUUGGACAAUGGGGGAAACCCUGAUCCAGCAAUGCCGCGUGGGUGAUGAAGGCCUUCGGUUGUAAAGCCCUUUUGGCAGGGACGAUGAUGACGGUACCUGCCGAAUAAGCCCCGGCUAACUUCGUGCCAGCAGCCGCCGUAAU